GGAAUGGCUACAUCAUAUGGUCUGCUUAUUCCCUAUGACACCACAGUAUUGAAGUUAUGUCAAUGAAUAAUCCUAAAUUGGCUUCUACAUGUUCAAGUGAUGAGUUGCGUGUCUCUCACUUUAAAUCAAAUGCCAGAAAUGACUGAACUUAGUGAGGAAGGCAUGCCAAAGGCUGAUAGGUCAAAGGCUAGGCCUUUGGUGCCAAAUAGCCAAACUGUGGCAAAGGAAAAGUUCUUGAAGAAAAUUAAAAGUGCUUAUCCACUGUACACACAAAUGAUAAGAAAGCCAAACAGCCUUAUUGAUGAUAUGGAGAAAGUUUGAGUGGUCUGAAUAGAAGAUCAAACCAGCCACAGCAUUCCCUUAAACCAAGGCCUAAUCCAGAGCAAGGCUUCAACUCUCUUCAAUUCUAUGAAGGCUAAAAGAGGUGAGAAAGCUGCAGAAAAAAAAAAAUGAAGCUAGCAGAAAUUGGUUCAUGAGGUUUAAGGGAAGGAACUAUCUUCAUAACAUAAAACUGCAAGGUGAAACAGCAAGUGCUGAUGGAUAAGCUGUAGCAAACUAUCCAGAAGACCUACUUAAGGACACUGAUGAAGGUGGCUACACUCUACAAUAGAUUUUCAGUGUAGAUGAAACAGCCUUCUAUUGGAAGAAGAUGCCAUCUAGGCCUUUCAGAGCUGAAGAAAAGUGAAUGUCUGGCUUCAAAGGAUAGGCUGACUUUCUUCUUAGGGUCUGUACAGCUGGUGACUUCAAGUUGAAGUCAAUGCUCAUUUGCCAUUCCAGAAAUCCUAAGGCCCUUAAGAAUUAUGCCAAAGCUACUCUGCCUGUGCUCUAUAAAUGGAAAAACAAAGCCUGGAUGACAGAACACUUGAUUAUAGCAUGGUUUACUGAAUAUUUUAAGUUCACUCUUGAGACCUACUGCUAAGAAAGAUUUCCUUUCAAAAUCUUACUACUCAUUCACAAUGCACCUCUUUACCCAAGAGCACUGUUGGAGAGGUACCAUGAGAUUCGUGUUGUUUUCAUGCCUGCUAACCUAACAUCCAUUCUGCAGCCCAUGGAUCAAGGAGUAAUUUAAACUGUAAGUCCUAUUAAGAAAUGCAUUUUGUAAGCCUAUAGCUGUCACAAACAGUGAUUCCUCUGAUGAAUGUGGGCAAAGACAGUUGAAAACCUGGAAGAGAUUCACCAUUCUGAAUGCCACUAAGAACAUUUGUGAUUCAUUGGAGAAGUUCAAAAUCUCAAUAUGAAUAGGAGUUUGGAAGAACUUAAUGCCAACCUUCAUGAAGGCCUUAGGGGGUUUAGGACUUCGGCAGAGGAAGUAACUGCAGAUGUGGUAGAAAUAGUAAAAGAAGUAUAAUUAGAAGUGGGGCUUGAAGAUGUGACUAAUGAAUUGUUGCAAUCUCAUGAUCUAACCUGAAUGGAUAUGAAGUUGCUUUUUACGGAUGAGCAAAGAAAGUCGUUUUUGAGAUAGAAUUUACUCCGGGUGAAGAUUAUGUGAACACUGUUGAAACAACAACAAAGGAUUUAUACUAUUACCUAAAUUUAAUUCAUAAAGUAACACCAAACAAAAUUUGAGAAGGUUGACUCCAAUUUUUAAAGAAGUUCUACUAUGGGUAAAAUGUAUUAAAUAGCAUCACAUGCUACAGAGAAAUGUUUUUGUGAAAGGAAGAGUCAACUGAUUGAAGAAGACAAUCGAGUUUCAUUGUCUUACUUUAAGAAAAUUGCCACAGCCACCCAACCUUCACCAGCCACCACCCUGAUCAGUCAACAGCCAUCAAUACUGUGGCAAAACCCUCAAGCAGAAAAGAGAUUAUGAUUAACUGAAGGCUCAGAUGACUGUUAGCAUUUUUUAGCAAU
rnacentral:lncRNA from 1 species